UCGGACGUGGUGUACGGCGCACGGCGGGCGUGUCUUGCCAGUUUCGAUCCUUCGUUAGAUGCAACUCGCAGACCGGGGUUCGACUCCCCGCGUCCGAA